rnacentral:rRNA from 1 species
UACGAAGGACCCGAGCGUUAUCCGGAUUCAUUGGGUUUAAAGGGUGCGUAGGCGGGAUAGUAAGUCAGUGGUGAAAUCCUGUAGCUUAACUACAGAACUGCCAUUGAUACUGCUAACCUUGAGUACAACUGAUGUGGGCGGAAUAUGGCAUGUAGCGGUGAAAUGCUUAGAUAUGCCAUAGAACACCGAUUGCGAAGGCAGCUCACAAAAUUGUUACUGACGCUGAGGCACGAAAGCAUGGGGAUCAAACAGG